rnacentral:rRNA from 1 species
GAUGAACGCUGGCGGCGUGCCUAAUACAUGCAAGUCGAGCGAACAGACGAGGAGCUUGCUCCUCUGACGUUAGCGGCGGACGGGUGAGUAACACGUGGAUAACCUACCUAUAAGACUGGGAUAACUUCGGGAAACCGGAGCUAAUACCGGAUAAUAUAUUGAACCGCAUGGUUCAAUAGUGAAAGACGGUUUUGCUGUCACUUAUAGAUGGAUCCGCGCCGCAUUAGCUAGUUGGUAAGGUAACGGCUUACCAAGGCGACGAUGCGUAGCCGACCUGAGAGGGUGAUCGGCCACACUGGAACUGAGACACGGUCCAGACUCCUACGGGAGGCAGCAGUAGGGAAUCUUCCGCAAUGGGCGAAAGCCUGACGGAGCAACGCCGCGUGAGUGAUGAAGGUCUUCGGAUCGUAAAACUCUGUUAUUAGGGAAGAACAAAUGUGCAAGUAACUAUGCACGUCUUGACGGUACCUAAUCAGAAGGCCACGGCUAACUACGUG